AGGACGAACGCUGGCGGCGUGCCUAACACAUGCAAGUUGAGCGCCGAACCAGGGCUUGCCCUGGGGCAAAGCAGCGAACGGGUGAGUAACACGUGAGUAACCUGCCCCAGACUCUGGAAUAACCCCGGGAAACCGGAGCUAAUACCGGAUACGAGACGGAGCCACAUGGCUACCGUUUGGAAAGUUUUUCGGUCUGGGAUGGACUCGCGGCCUAUCAGCUAGUUGGUGAGGUAACGGCUCACCAAGGCGACGACGGGUAGCCGGCCUGAGAGGGCGACCGGCCACACUGGGACUGAGACACGGCCCAGACUCCUACGGGAGGCAGCAGUGGGGAAUAUUGCACAAUGGGCGAAAGCCUGAUGCAGCGACGCCGCGUGAGGGAUGAAGGCCUUCGGGUUGUAAACCGUCUUUCAGCAGGGAAGAAGCGAAAGUGACGGUACCUGCAGAAGAAGCACCGGCUAACUACGUGCCAGCAGCCGC
rnacentral:rRNA from 1 species